UACGAAGGGGACUAGCGUUGUUCGGAAUCACUGGGCGUAAAGCGCACGUAGGCGGAUAUGUCAGUCAGGGGUGAAAUCCCGGGGCUCAACCUCGGAACUGCCUUUGAUACAGCAUAUCUUGAGUCCGAUAGAGGUGGGUGGAAUUCCUAGUGUAGAGGUGAAAUUCGUAGAUAUUAGGAAGAACACCGGUGGCGAAGGCGGCCCACUGGAUCGGUACUGACGCUGAGGUGCGAAAGCGUGGGAGCAAACAGG
rnacentral:rRNA from 2 species